UACGUAGGGGGGCAAGCGUUGUCCGGAUUUAUUGGGCGUAAAGAGCGUGUAGGCGGCUUGGUAGGUCCGCUGUGAAAACUCGAGGCUCAACCUCGAGAUGUCGGCGGAAACCACUUGGCUAGAGUCCGGAAGAGGAGAGUGGAAUUCCCGGUGUAGCGGUGAAAUGCGCAGAUAUCGGGAAGAACACCAGUGGCGAAGGCGCCGCUCUGGGCCGUAACUGACGCUGAGAAGCGAAAGCGUGGGGAGCAAACAGG
rnacentral:rRNA from 1 species